AAAUACAAUUGGGUAACUCCUUUCAUGUGCAUAUAACCACUCCUGGGGUCCUUCAGUGUAGGCUGGACCAGCAUUGUUUUGCAUGGUGAUAUCCAAGGCACCUUCGCAAACUGAGCCUGAGAUACAAAUACCUCCCAUCUGUCUCCCUCUGAGCUCAGAGCUCUCUGCCUUCAGCUCUGCAAGAGUCACAAUGCUCUCCCAGUCCUUGCUCCUCUGGCUGUUACUGCUCUGGCCUCAAGCAUCGCAGGCAGCAAUUGUAUUGACCCAGUCCCCGGCCUCCCUGUCCGUGGCUCUAGGAGACAAAGUCACCAUCAGCUGCAAGGCCAGUUCCAGCGUUAGCAAGUGGAUGGCCUGGUACCAGCAGAAACCAGGACAGUCUCCCAAGCUCCUGAUCUAUGAUGCUUCCAACCUGCAGUCUGGGGUCCCUGCCCGGUUCAGUGGCAGUGGCUCUGGGACAGAUUUCACCCUCACCAUCAGUGCAGUGGAGGCUGAGGAUGUGGCAGACUAUUACUGUUUUCAGUAUUAUAGUGAUCCAUUCCCACAGUGUUUCAGCCCUGAACAAAAUCCUCUCCAGGCUACUCAGCCCUUCAGCAGAGGGCAGCAGCUGCUUCCCCAGAGUCACAGGCUUGAGGAAACCACUGCCCUCAGGGGAGAACUGGGCCCAAUUCAGCCCUGCUGCAGGAGCCAUUUCUCCCAGGGACCCUGGUGGAGAUAGAAAGAGGAAGAAGAG